rnacentral:ncRNA from 1 species
AUGCGCAAAUUGUCAUCGCGAAGUUGAAGCCGGCAUUACGCAGCUUCCUAGAGUAAUCUAGGUUGAAAAACGAGGUGAAUUCGGUGAAGUCCCAUAAAAAGGAUAAUACCGAGCCAAGCCCGCCUUUGGCGGGAAGGUGUAGAGACUAUCCCGAAAGGGAGUACUCCGGCGCAAGGUCGGAGGAAGCGCCUCGUCCCGCAUCCUAUCUAAAACAGAUAGAGCGGGAAUGAUAUAGUCCAUCCCUAUUGGUAACAGUAGG